AUGCUGUUCACAAAGGUGAUGUGGUCCAUUGGGAGCUCUGGUAUUUCACUGUAUCUCAGCAUGUUUUUGGAGUUCAGUUAUACUAGCAAUGAACUCUUUAAUGCAGUUAGCCCAGUGCCUUGCAGCACACGCUGGUGGAGGGGAAGGAGUGUGGGCAGCAGCUCCUGGAACCAGCCUGUUCAGAAGCAGUGCUGCAAACCUGCCUCUCUCAACGCAACCUCGUGCGUGAUGCCCGUGGAUGAUCACCACAGGAGAAUCCAGACAGAUCCAGGAACCAUAAUGUUAUUUCUCCAGCCUGUCAAAAGUGCAGUUCCUUGUGAAAUGGAGGGGUGA
rnacentral:lncRNA from 1 species